rnacentral:rRNA from 1 species
UACGUAGGUGGCAAGCGUUGUCCGGAAUUAUUGGGCGUAAAGCGCGCGCAGGCGGUCCUUUAAGUCUGAUGUGAAAGCCCACGGCUCAACCGUGGAGGGUCAUUGGAAACUGAGGGACUUGAGUGCAGAAGAGGAAAGCGGAAUUCCACGUGUAGCGGUGAAAUGCGUAGAGAUGUGGAGGAACACCAGUGGCGAAGGCGGCUUUCUGGUCUGUAACUGACGCUGAGGCGCGAAAGCGUGGGGAGCAAACAGG